rnacentral:rRNA from 1 species
UACGGGGGGGGCAAGCGUUGUUCGGAAUUACUGGGCGUAAAGGGCUCGUAGGCGGUUUGUUGCGUCGGCUGUGAAAUCCCGAGGCUCAACCUCGGGUCUGCAGUCGAUACGAGCAAACUAGAGUGUUGCAGGGGAGACCGGAAUUCCUGGUGUAGCGGUGAAAUGCGCAGAUAUCAGGAGGAACACCGGUGGCGAAGGCGGGUCUCUGGGCAACAACUGACGCUGAGGAGCGAAAGCGUGGGGAGCGAACAGG